rnacentral:rRNA from 1 species
GGCGGGAUCGCUGAAAAACCGGUCUCAGUUCGGAUCGCAGUCUGCAACUCGACUGCGUGAAGGCGGAGUCGCUAGUAAUCGCGGAUCAGCAACGCCGCGGUGAAUGCGUUCCCGGGCUUGUACACACCGCCCGUCAAGUCAUGAAAGUGGGUAGCACCCGAAGCCGGUGGCCCGACCCUCGUGGGGGGGAGCCGUCUAAGGUGAGACUCGUGAUUGGGACUAAGUCGUAACAAGGUAGC